rnacentral:rRNA from 1 species
CAGCAGCCGCGGUAAUACGAAGGGGGCUAGCGUUGUUCGGAAUUACUGGGCGUAAAGCGCACGUAGGCGGAUAUUUAAGUCAGGAGUGAAAUCCCAGAGCUCAACUCUGGAACUGCCUUUGAUACUGGGUAUCUUGAGUAUGGAAGAGGUGAGUGGAAUUCCGAGUGUAGAGGUGAAAUUCGUAGAUAUUCGGAGGAACACCAGUGGCGAAGGCGGCUCACUGGUCCAUUACUGACGCUGAGGUGCGAAAGCGUGGGGAGCAAACAGGAUUAGAUACCCCGGUAGUCCCUGUCUCUUAUAC